CCUACGGGGGGCAGCAGUGAGGAAUAUUGGUCAAUGGCCGAGAGGCUGAACCAGCCAAGUCGCGUGAGGGAUGACGGCCCUACGGGUUGUAAACCUCUUUUGUCGGGGAGCAAAGAGAGUCACGUGUGGUUCAUUGAGAGUACCCGAAGAAAAAGCAUCGGCUAACUCCGUGCCAGCAGCCGCGGUAAUACGGAGGAUGCGAGCGUUAUCCGGAUUUAUUGGGUUUAAAGGGUGCGCAGGCGGAGGUGCAAGUCAGUGGUCAAAUUGCGGGGCUCAACCCCGUACUGCCGUUGAAACUGCAUCCCUUGAGUGCGCGAGAAGUAUGCGGAAUGCGUGGUGUAGCGGUGAAAUGCAUAGAUAUCACGCAGAACUCCGAUUGCGAAGGCAGCAUACCGGCGCGCAACUGACGCUCAUGCACGAAAGCGUGGGUAUCGAACAGGAUUAGAUACCCCAGUAGUC
rnacentral:rRNA from 1 species